ACAAUAAUCUUUCUGUUCAGUAUUAAAGGAAUCGCAGAUACAGACACCUGGUGCAUGUGCUUAGCUGAGGAGUCAGUGUUGUGCAGGUGCCAUUUGUAGGAUUUUGACUGAACACCUUUAAAUCAGAAUUCUCCCUAAAAGGU
rnacentral:ncRNA from 1 species